UUUUUAACAUUAAUAGACUAGUCAUUUGUACCACUAAACAUGUGCCACUAAGUUCGAAUAAAAGUAGCCAUUUAAGUAGUCAUUUUACAACACCAAACAUAGUACGCCAGCAAGUUCUGGUAAAAGUUACUCACUCAGCAAUUAUCUUGUCAUUAAGAUUGGACUCCUCUUCGCGAAACAGCUUUGAGGGAUCACACGGUUGUUUCUUCAUGUUCUCCUCAUUCUUCUUGUUCUUAUUAGGAAUGCUAAACCAUUUAUUUGACUAGCCAAAAUGGCGAAGGUCAAGCAUUUCUUCUAAAAAAAAAAAAAAAAAGUUAGUUCUUGACAUUAAAAAUGUAUAGACUAAAAAUUAUAUAAAAAAAUAAAUCAUUACUCCUCCAACAGAAUGUACUACUCAUCUACCCACAAGUCUUAUACUAAUAUAAAAAAGUUGCCUCAUGUCUUAAUACCUACAAAAGUAGUUAAAAAACAACGUUAUACAAUUAAUAACUUAUACUGAUCAAAUGUUAAAAUGAAAAAAAUAAAAUCAUUAUUAUGACGAAUAUGAUAUUGAACUUUGCAAAAUUUGACAAAUCAAAUCUUUCUAUUCCAAGUAAAAUCAUACCUCCAAUAGUCCCGUCUUUAAGUCACUCAAAUCAAACCCAGAAAUAGCAGCAAAUCCACCCAAAAACAACAACAAUCAAGAGUCUCUGUAAUCAAACCCAAAAACAAAAGAAAAUCAGCAAAUCAAAACCAAAAAUUGCAAUCAAAAUUAACCUACAAUCAGCAAAAAAAAUUUUAAAAAAAUGCCAGAAAUCAAACCCAAAAAUAGUAGCAAAGUAACCAAGAAACAACAGAAAAUCAAAUCCAAAAACAACACAAAUGAACACAAAAAGAGCAGCAAAUCAACCCAACAAAAAAAAGCAAAAAAUGCCCAACACCAAUAGCAAGUAAAAAAAAUAAAAUUUGGCGAUUGCAAAAUAGAAUAUAAUAUGAGUGAACGUGUUUAGAGUAAUGAACGUGUUUCCAGAAGCCACAUUAGGCCACCAUAUUAAACAAAUAUCAAAUUUACCAUCCAUCACUUCACUCUUCAUAGAUGCCUAUGAUGCAUCAACCAUCGAAAUUUAUCAUCCAUCACUUCACUUUUGGGUGGAGUGUGUGUUUU
rnacentral:lncRNA from 1 species